UAUAAAAGGAAAACAUAAAAACGCAACGUUUUACUUUUGUUUUAUUGCAUAAAAUUUUGGCUGAGAAAAAGCGUAUUAAAAAUCCAAAAAAGUCUUCUACAAAAGAAUGUGUGAAAUUAACAUCUUAUUACUACAAAUUAACAUAUUAUAAAAAAGGCAGUCAGACGCAAAAUGAAAGCAUGAGCAGAUUUCAAUAGAACUCGUACAAGAACAAUCACUAGUAAUUUUUUAUGACAAUUAUAAUCCCUCUGAUAUAUUCUCACAAACUUUUUGGGAAAAAAGUUGGACAAGUUAUCGUCUACAUUAUUGCGACCACUAAUCAUCAACAAAACGACAUUCAAAUAGUUAAAGAACGCUCGAAAACGAUGUCAGGUGUUGAGAACGCUCAAUUUUUUGACAUUGAAAAUGUCAUUACUAUUAGUAUAAACAUAAGGAAUAUUGAGUAAAAUAUAAUUAAGAUGUCGCCUGAAAUCAAAAUUCAAUACAUCACAAAACAUAAUAUACCACCCAAUUUUUCAAAAAUUUUUAGAUCAAUUAUGUGGGCGAAUGUUAAUUGGGAAUGCCAUUCUACUGUACAGCAAGGUUUGUUUUGCGGCCCUUGUGCUUUGUUUUUUUUUUAAAAAGAGAUGAUAAAGGGUCUUUGGUUAAUACACCCUUUAAUAAUUGGAAUAAGUUUAAAGAAAAAGUAGAUUAUCACAAAAAUAGAGUUUAUCACAUACGUUUUUGAACGAAUAUUAUAAUAUUCAAUCAACACUUUAAAUGUUUCUUUAAUAUUUCACAGUCAAUUAAGUAAAGAACUUGCUGAACAAAUCAAAUGCAAUACAAAAUUUUUGAAAUGUAUAAUGAAAGCUGAUAUUUAUUGUGGAAAACGAUGUAUAACUCUGCGUGCGACGCUUGAAAAUUGUUUUUUGAUAAGAAACAUGAGAUAUACAAAAAGUUUGUAAAGUUCGAGAGUGUAAGAGUCAAAGAUGUUAUUCAGCAAAAUUUACAUGACAUUAAUUCAAAUAUUGAAAAUAUAUAAGACCAAGCAUACUACAGUGCAGCAUCAAUUGCAGGUUCGUUAUCAGAUGUACAACCCAAAUUUCUGAGCAUUCAACCAAAAGCAACAUACACCCAUGGCGCGUGUCAUUGACUGAACAUGGUUACUAGUCAUUCUUGUAAAAUAUCUGAAAUAAAGUAUAUGUCAGAUAUAAUGGAGAAAUUUACGACAUGGAUGAAAAAUAACGCAAACCAAACACAACUUUUUAACAUGGUGUGCUAAAACAAAAAUCAAUUUCACACAUUAAAAACACCGAAAAUUCUUACUAAUAUUUUUUUACAAGAUGGAUUGAAAAUUUAGAUGGCUGGGAAAAAUUUCGUUUAGCUUAUCCGUUUCUGAUAAUAUUUUGCAAAGUCAUUUCUAAGAACCGAUGUGACAAUAAAAAUGAAUAUGCCAAAUGGCUGCAUCAGUGGACUGCUAAAGACACACAUCAAGUACUGUUUUUUCUGAAAGCGUUUGGGAGUUUUAAUUUUAUUAUAAAAAAUAAAAUCAAAAAUAAAUUAUUCUUCCUCGACCUGUCAAAGGAUUUUCAAUUCGUAUGAUGCGUUCUGAUUAUACCUGUCAAAGGAUUUUCAAUUCGUAUGAUGCGUUCUGAUUAUACCUCAAAAGGACGAUGACCUUUUAUUUGUCGGAGAACAUUUUCUACCCAUUGUUUCAAUCAAAGACAACUCAACAACCUGUGGGAAGAUGUUGAGUGAGUGAAUUUACAUAAUAGGUAUAGAAUAAAAUUUGCUUAUGUUUGAUUAGUUUGUUCAUUAUUUGAUGAGAUAUCAAAUGUUCUACAAUAUAAUUUGCUGAGAUCUAUUUCUGUAUAAAUGUAUAGUUUAAUUGUAAAAAAUCAAUGGUGCUGA